UACGUAGGGUGCGAGCGUUAUUCGGAAUUACUGGGCGUAAAGCGUGCGCAGGCGGUUUUGUAAGUCAGAUGUGAAAUCCCCGGGCUCAACCUGGGAACUGCGUUUGAAACUGCAAGGCUAGAGUGUAGCAGAGGGGGGUAGAAUUCCACGUGUAGCAGUGAAAUGCGUAGAGAUGUGGAGGAAUACCAAUGGCGAAGGCAGCCCCCUGGGUUAACACCGACGCUCAUGCACGAAAGCGUGGGGAGCAAACAGG
rnacentral:rRNA from 1 species